AGCGAACGCUGGCGGCAGGCUUAACACAUGCAAGUCGAGCGGGCAUCCUUGUGGUGUCAGCGGCAGACGGGUGAGUAACGCGUGGGAACGUGCCCUUCGGUUCGGAAUAACUCAGGGAAACUUGAGCUAAUACCGGAUACGUGCGAGAGCAGAAAGGUUUAUCUGCCGAAGGAUCGGCCCGCGUCUGAUUAGCUAGUUGGUGAGGUUAUGGCUCACCAAGGCGACGAUCAGUAGCUGGUCUGAGAGGAUGAUCAGCCACACUGGGACUGAGACACGGCCCAGACUCCUACGGGAGGCAGCAGUGGGGAAUAUUGGACUAUGGGGGCAACCCUGAUCCAGCCAUGCCGCGUGAGUGAUGACGGCCUUAGGGUUGUAAAGCUCUUUUCUCCGGGACGAUAAUGACGUUACCGGAGGAAUAAGCCCCGGCUAACUUCGUG
rnacentral:rRNA from 1 species